rnacentral:rRNA from 1 species
AGGAUAAACGCUGGCGGCGUGCCUAACACAUGCAAGUCGAACGCGCUUUCGGGCUUCGGUGCGAGAGCGAGUGGCGGACGGGUGAGUAACACAUGGGUACCUACCUUGGAGUGAGGGAUACCGGCGAGAAAUCGCCGACAAUACCGCAUAGGCUUCUUCACAAGGGAAGCAAAGUGACGCGAGUCACGCUGUGAGAUGGGCCUGUGGCCGAUUAGCUAGUUGGGGGGGUAACGGCUUCCCAAGGCGACGAUCGGUAGCUGGUCUGAGAGGACGAUCAGCCACACUGGGAUUGAGAACGGCCCAGACUCCUACGGGGGGCAGCAGUGAGGAAUUUUCCGCAAUGGAGGCAACUCUGACGGAGCAACGCCGCGUGCAGGAGGAAGGUUUUCGGAUCGUAAACUGCUUUUCUCGGGGACGAGCAAGGACGGUACCCGAGGAAGAAGCCCCGGCUAACUACGUGCCAGCAGCCGC